UAGCAAGUUGGCAGAUUAGUGUAGUUGAUUUAGGGUCAGAUAAUAAGAGGUUUAUUCUUACUUGCUAUAAUA
rnacentral:tRNA from 1 species